AGCAGCCGCGGUAAUUCCAGCUCCAAUAGCGUAUAUUAAAGUUGUUGCAGUUAAAAAGCUCGUAGUUGAAUUUUGGAUUCUUCCAAUUGGUCCAUCUUUUAGAUGAGUACUGGUUGUGUGGGGUCUAUCCGCCUGGUGAUACGUAAUGUCCUUUAUUGGAUGUUGCGGGUAGUCAGGACCUUUACCUUGAAAAAUUAGAGUGUUUAAAGCAGGCUUAUGCCGGAAUACAUUAGCAUGGAAUAAUAGAAUAGGACGAAGUUGUUUUAUUUUGUUGGUUUCUAGGACAACCGUAAUGAUUAAUAGGGAUAGUUGGGGGCAUUAGUAUUCAAUUGUCAGAGGUGAAAUUCUUGGAUUUAUUGAAGACUAACUACUGCGAAAGCAUUUGCCAAGGAUGUUUUCAUUAAUCAAGAACGAAAGUUAGGGGAUCGAAGACGAUCAGAUACCGUCGUAGUCUUAACCAUAAACUAUGCCGACUAGGGAU
rnacentral:rRNA from 1 species